rnacentral:lncRNA from 1 species
CUUUAUUUCAAAGUUCAAGCAGCAAACAGCUCUACCCAUCUUCCAAUGUCAAUGGUUCCAACCUACACCUGUUCUGAUUGCUUUCCAGUUUGGAGUAUGUUGUCUUGAAGAAACAAACCCAACUUUCCUAGCUGGAACAUGAACUACCUCGCCUUGGUUAAUGUGACUGUGAUACUCGGGGGGAUAAAGGAACAAGAAGAAACAGGCCUUUUACAGAUUCCGAGGGCCACUCUACAGCAAAAAGUCAUCUUGGAGAGGCUGCUGGAAGAGUUGCUGCUACCGGUCAACAGAUGCUUUUAAAGGACAGCUUUCCACUGGGUCAGCAAGGAGGGUGUACUCUAUCCCUUGACCUCCCUCCAUCAACUCUUUGGGGGACAGCACCUUCAUGACAUGGGCACCUCUGAAGCAUGACUUCUUUAACUCAACAAACAGCCCGCCCUCUUUGGUCCUCAGUCGUGGCCUGAUACUGCAGGAUGAUCUCCUCAGCAAGACCCCUCGCAUACUAUCAUCUACUUCAGCAAACCUUUACCAGGCGAGACAACUUAUUCCUUGUUCCAGAAAUUCAGAUGUGGAAGAUGACUUGGGGGCCAUAAUGUUCUGCCUGCCAUACUGACCUAAGAUAGUACAAGCAUGGUCCUGAGAAGCAGACUCACGUGAAGAGAUGAGGUAUCAUCCACGCCUGGCAUGUACAUACCACAAUGACUUGGGUUUCUAACAAAUGGAGACCUGAGAUUGGCUGUGGGGGAAGAGGGUGCACUGGCUUGUGGAACAUCAACGGGGCUGGAAGGAAGUGACAGUCACUCUGGGGACUAUGAAAUUGAGAGGCCGCUGCUAAACACCAUGAAUGCUUUGAAGAGAGAAAUAAAAAAAGACAUUCACGGGGCA